GAUGAACGCUGGCGGCGUGCCUAAUACAUGCAAGUCGAGCGAACAGACGAGGAGCUUGCUCCUCUGACGUUAGCGGCGGACGGGUGAGUAACACGUGGAUAACCUACCUAUGAGACUGGGAUAACUUCGGGAAACCGGAGCUAAUACCGGAUAACAUGUUGAACCGCAUGGUUCAACAGUGAAAGACGGUCUUGCUGUCACUUAUAGAUGGAUCCGCGCCGCAUUAGCUAGUUGGUAAGGUAACGGCUUACCAAGGCAACGAUGCGUAGCCGACCUGAGAGGGUGAUCGGCCACACUGGAACUGAGACACGGUCCAGACUCCUACGGGAGGCAGCAGUAGGGAAUCUUCCGCAAUGGGCGAAAUCCUGACGGAGCAACGCCGCGUGAGUGAAGAAGGUCUUCGGAUCGUAAAACUCUGUUAUUAGGGAAGAACAAAUGUGUAAGUAACUAUGCACGUCUUGACGGUACCUAAUCAGAAAGCCACGGCUAACUACGUG
rnacentral:rRNA from 1 species